GGUCCCUUAGCUCAACUGGACAGAGCGUUUGGCUACGGACCAAAAGGUUAGGAGUUCGACUCUUCUAGGGAUCGCCA
rnacentral:tRNA from 1 species